rnacentral:rRNA from 1 species
UACGGAGGGGGCUAGCGUUAUUCGGAAUUAUUGGGCGUAAAGGGCGCGUAGGCGGCCCGCUAAGUCGAACGUGAAAUCCCUGGGCUCAACCCAGGAACUGCGUCCGAUACUGGCAGGCUUGAAUCCGGGAGAGGGAUGUGGAAUUCCAGGUGUAGCGGUGAAAUGCGUAGAUAUCUGGAGGAACACCGGUGGCGAAGGCGGCAUCCUGGACCAACACUGACGCUGAGGAGCGAAAGCCAGGGGAGCAAACGGG